rnacentral:rRNA from 1 species
CCUACGGGAGGCAGCAGUGAGGAAUAUUGGUCAAUGGACGAGAGUCUGAACCAGCCAAGUAGCGUGAAGGAUGACUGCCCUAUGGGUUGUAAACUUCUUUUAUAUGGGAAUAAAAUGUUCCACGUGUGGGCUUUUGUAUGUACCAUAUGAAUAAGGAUCGGCUAACUCCGUGCCAGCAGCCGCGGUAAUACGGAGGAUCCGAGAGUUAUCCGGAUUUAUUGGGUUUAAAGGGAGCGUAGGUGGAUUGUUAAGUCAGUUGUGAAAGUUUGCGGCUCAACCGUAAAAUUGCAGUUGAAACUGGCAGUCUUGAGUACAGUAGAGGUGUGCGGAAUUCGUGGUGUAGCGGUGAAAUGCUUAGAUAUCACGAAGAACUCCGAGUGCGAAGGCAGCUCACUGGACUGCAACUGACACUGAGGCUCGAAAGUGUGGGUAUCAAACAGGAGUAGAUACCCGGGUAGUC